GUCACCUGCAGUGGAGCACAGCACCUGUGAGAAAGGGGUAGGCCUUGCCAGAUACUUCUCAGAACACAGGAAUGAGGACUCUCUGAUAGCAAUCUGUUGUCAUCCAAUUGACUACACAGGACCAAUGGGCUACAGGCAACACGUCUACCAUGUCAGCAGCAAAAGGGGAGAAUCACUUAUUGGAGACCAACUGUAUUCCAGGCACUCUGCCAAACAUUAGGAUAUUAUAUGAAGAAGAUACGUGUGCUGGUGACUGUUCUCUUCUUCUCAACCCCUAAUAUGAUCUCAUGCACAUGGAUGCUAAUGCAGGCCCAGAUGUCUCCUGGGCUAGAUGAAGAACCACAAUUAUUUGAUUAAAAUGACUUCAACUGGAGUAUACAUCAGGGCCAAAACUUAAAAUCUGAAAAUUUGUCAUUUACAAAUGAAGACUCAACACAAUGCAAUUUUUGUUC